CGUCCCCACGCAGAGGAGGAAGCCCGACAGCCCGGCCGAGCACGGAGCAGCCCCGAUAGCAUUUUUAUUAUUAUUUAUAUUUAUUUAUUUUAUCUCUCUGCAAACAGAGGAGCGACGGCGGGCACGGCCCAACCCGCACCGCGGCGAGCAGCGGGGCCGGUGGCGGCACAGCCCCGGUGCAGCCAUGGGGCAGAAAUGCAUGGAGAAGGUGUCCUCCUUCCUCUUCGAGUAUGACACCCCUCGCAUGGUGCUGGUGAGGAACAAGAAGGUGGGACUGACCUUCCGGCUGAUCCAGCUCAUCGUCCUGGCAUACAUCAUCGGGUGGGUUUUCCUCUACGAGAAGGGCUACCAGUCACAGGACAGCAUCGUCAGCUCCGUGUCGGUGAAGCUCAAAGGCCUGACGCUGACCAACGAGAGCGUCUUGGGCCCGCACAUCUGGGACGUGGUGGAUUACGUUUUCCCACCGCAGGGGGACAACUCUUUCGUGGUGAUGACCAACUUCAUUAUCACCCCUGGACAGAAACAAGGAACCUGCCCGGAGCUGCCGGAUGCCGGGCUCUGCACGAGGGACAGUGACUGCAGCAAGGGGACGUACAGCCGUCAGGGACAAGGGCUCAUGACGGGCAGGUGUGUGAAUUUCAACAGCUCGGUGAAGACCUGCGAGAUCUUUGGCUGGUGCCCUGUCGAAGUUGACUACCACGUUCCCAACCCUGCCCUCCUGUCAGAAGCAGAGAAGUUCACCUUGUUCAUCAAGAACAGCAUCACCUUCCCCAGGUUCAAGGUGUCCAGGCGCAACUUGGUGGAGAGCGUUACCAAGCAGUACCUGAAGAAAUGCACGUACCACAAAGUCACCGACUCCCUGUGCCCCGUGUUUGACCUGGGCUACAUGGUGAAGGAAUCGGGUCAGAAUUUCACCGUCCUGGCCGUUAAGGGCGGAGUGGUGGGCAUCACCAUCGACUGGAAUUGCGACCUCGACUGGCCCGUCCGGCACUGCAAGCCCAUUUACCAGUUCCACGGCCUCUACAAUGAUGACAGUAACGUCUCGCCGGGCUUCAACUUCAGGUAUGCCAAAUACUACAAAGAAGAUGGGACAGACAAGAGGACCCUGUACAAGGUGUUUGGGAUCCGGUUUGACAUCCUGGUGAACGGCAAGGCGGGCAAAUUUGACAUCAUCCCCACCAUGACCACGAUCGGCUCUGGAAUUGGUAUUUUUGGAGUGGCCUCUGUGCUCUGCGACCUGCUCCUGCUGCAUUUCCUCCAAGGACGGGACUACUACAAGCAGAAGAAAUUCAAGUACGCGGAACAGGAGCCUGUGAGUACCGGCACAUCCCUCCCUGCCGAAGGCUCUCGGUGGGCGAGUGUGGGUGCGUGCGUGGUGAUGCCAUGCCAGGGACCACGUUCAUGUCGAGGAGUGCCCAGGCACCUUCCCGAGCUGCUGGGAGCCCCAAGCCCCUGGGGCUGUCCGAGGCUGGGAGCUGUGAGUCUCCCCUCCAAAAUUACUUUCUGCAUGACCCGCUGUUUCCUCCCACUGCUCACUUUCCGAGACCAUCCUCAUGACCACGGGAUGUUUCCCGUCCUUUCAUAGGAGGCGGAAACAGGUCCCCCCCAAAUUCAUCUGGGAAUAUGCUCACAUGCUGGGGGUUAGGAGCUGGUGCUUCCCAGCUGCUUGUUCCCCUGCUGUUAGCAGGGGCAGGUCUGUAAAAGAAUUAUCGUUUUCUCUUCUUUAACCCCCAGUCAAAGUCGCAUAAGAAAGGGAAGGAGCUGGACAACACGCAGUGAGAGCAUCCACGCUGACCGACAAACCUGCACCUUCUUCCUCCUCUUCCUCCUCCUCUUCCUCUCCCAAAACACGGUCGUCAUCCCCAGCCCCAGCCCCAAGGCCAGCAGGAGCAGCAUCCAACGCCAGCUCACGUGAACGCAGCACCCUGCAGCCAGGGCAGGAUCUGGCCGGCCCAGUGCCCUGCGUCUGGCAGGGCUUGCUGUGAUGCUGGGGUGGGUGACACCUGCACAGGGCACAGGGGUCCUGCACUUGCUACAGCACCCACAGGACCUCCACCAGCCCUGCCUGGGGUGCCAGGGCCAUGCUGGGGUGUCCUGCACCCCGAGCCCUGCAAGAGAGCAUCGCUGCCUUCCCUUCCCCAGCAGUGCCCCUGAGUGGCUCCAGAUUGAGGAGAGGGGAGUGGAAGGAGAGCUGGCAAAAGCCAUGCGCAGUCCCCAGCAUGGGAAAGAAAGGGUUAUUUUGUGAGAAUGUAUUUUAUUAGAAAAAUAAACCUUUAGUUUUUCUACUA